CCUACGGGGGGCAGCAGUGAGGAAUAUUGGACAAUGGGCGCAAGCCUGAUCCAGCCAUGCCGCGUGAGUGAUGAAGGCCCUAGGGUUGUAAAACUCUUUUAGUGGGAAAAUGGUACCCACAGAAAAAGCUCCGGCUAACUUCGUGCCAGCAGCCGCGGUAAUACGAAGGGAGCUAGCGUUACUCGGAAUCACUGGGCGUAAAGCGCAUGUAGGCGGAACUACAAGUCAGGGGUGAAAUCCCGGGGCUCAACCCCGGAAUUGCCUUUGAAACUGUAGUUCUUGAGUAUGACAGAGGAUGGUGGAAUUUCCAGUGUAGAGGUGAAAUUCGUAGAUAUUGGAAAGAACACCGGUGGCGAAGGCGACCAUCUGGCAUAACUGACGCUGAGAUGCGAAAGCGUGGGGAGCGAACGGGAUUAGAUACCCUUGUAGUC
rnacentral:rRNA from 1 species